rnacentral:rRNA from 1 species
GACGAACGCUGGCGGCGUGCCUAACACAUGCAAGUCGAGCGGAGAUAGUAGUAAUACUAUCUUAGCGGCGGACGGGUGAGUAACGCGUGGGCAACCUACCUCAGACUGGGGGAUAACACAGGGAAACUUGUGCUAAUACCGCAUAACAUAGCGAUGUGACAUCACAAUGCUAUCAAAGGAGUAAUCCGGUUAGAGAUGGGCCCGCGUCCGAUUAGCUAGUUGGUGAUGUAACGGACCACCAAGGCGACGAUCGGUAGCCGAACUGAGAGGUUGAUCGGCCACAUUGGGACUGAGACACGGCCCAGACUCCUACGGGAGGCAG